UACGGAGGGUGCAAGCGUUAAUCGGAAUUACUGGGCGUAAAGCGCACGCAGGUGGCUGAGUCAGUCGAUUGUGAAAGCCCUGGGCUUAACCUAGGAAUUGCAGUCGAUACUACUCAGCUAGAGUAUGGGAGAGGGCAGUGGAAUUCCCGGUGUAGCGGUGAAAUUCGUAGAUAUUAGGAAGAACACCGGUGGCGAAGGCGGCCCACUGGAUCGGUACUGACGCUGAGGUGCGAAAGCGUGGGGAGCAAACAGG
rnacentral:rRNA from 1 species